rnacentral:rRNA from 1 species
GUAGGUGGCAAGCGUUGUCCGGGAAUUAUUGGGGCGUAUAGCGCGCGCAGGCGGUUCUUUAAGUCUGAUGUGAAAGCCCACGGGCUCAACCGUGGAGGGUCAUUGGAAACUGGAGAACUUGAGUACAGAAGAGGAAAGCGGAAUUCCACGUGUAGCGGUGAAAUGCGUAGAGAUGUGGAGGAACACCAGUGGCGAAGGCGGCUUUCUGGUCUGUAACUGACGCUGAGGCGCGAAAGCGUGGGGAGCAAACAGGAUUAGAUACCCUGGUAGUCCACGCCGUAAACGAUGAGUGCUAAGUGUUAGGGGGUUUCCGCCCCUUAGUGCUGCAGCUAACGCAUUAAGCACUCCGCCUGGGGAGUACGGCCGCAAAGGCUGA